GGCUCUCUGGUGUAGUGGGCAUAUCCCAAACCUCGACUCUAUAUUUAAUAUCGAUGUGAGGGAGGUCAUAGGUUCGAAUCCUAUGAGAGCUA